ACGGUGUGGCGCCCUGCGGAGAGAUUUGUCGUAAAGCGGGGUGCUAGGCAUUUUGGGUGCUUUGUCUGUGAACGGCCCUAGGAACAGGGAAACUGAGGCACGCUCCGCCAGCUUAGCCCUACCUGGCCGUGUAGGGGCCCUGCUGGUUCUCCAGCUGAGCGUCCCAGGGCGGUGCUAUUUUGGGCUCUGCGAAGGGGCAUGUUAGCUUUCGGGUGGCGAGACCUGCUGUGGAGGCGCCGGUGUUCGGAAACGAGGAGGCGGAACCGUGGAGGCGCCACCGGAAGACUGGCCGGCUGCUCAUUCACUGUAGAGCUGGUGGAAAUGCCGGGCUGGGGGGCGCCAUGGCCUUACUCCCCUCUGGGGCCCCACCGUCUAACAAUGGAUGGAGUCUCCAUGCCCUCACUGCCCACUCACCCAUCUCAUUCCUCCCCCAGUCCCAAAGGGUAAAGGAGGCAACAAAUGCACAGAAGAGUUGACAUGGUCUGGGCCACCAGGAAGGGGAUCAGCUUGAAGACUUGGAUUGACUUCUGAAUAUAUUGCUUAUCAGUCAGGGUGUUGAAUGCCUGGCACUGUUCCCCCAGUGGGAACUCCAUAUCGGUGUGUCUAAUGGCAAAAUGGAACCGUAGUGUUCCGACUUUAGAACCUGAUGUCAGAAAUGAAGACCGGAGGGGCUUUUAGAGAGAAUGUAACAUGCACUCAGGCAUGAUCAGUGAAGCCCUGUGCAUGCGGUUUGUUUGAUUUGGUUUUACUUCUCUACGCGUCUGUGCUCUUCCUGUUUUCAGAGAACAGUAGCAAUAGUCUGUGAAAUUGCCCCUUCCUUAUUUGAUUAAGAGUUUGUCUUUCUUACCUAUUCCUUUGGAAUCUCUAAAAGAAAAAAAAAAACAAAGACCCUGUUCAAUUAUGUGUGGCACAAAUGUUAAAACAGUGUUACAACAACAACAACAAAAAACUUCAUUUAGGAUGCUACCCUCUCAGCUUAGUGAACUGACUUUUUAAUUAUUUUUGCUGGACACUGAUCCAUUCCUUAUUAGCACAGUUGUAAUGUGAUUUUUGCGCUCUCUAUUAUUCACUUAAAAACUAAAUACAGGCAUUUUCUUUUGGUGUGGCAUAGACUGUAAUUUUCUUGGGGGCUUGUGUUUUGCUCAGUGGAUAUUUAACAGUUUCUUUCUUGAUGACAUCUAGACCCACCCUGAUAUUCUUUGAAGAUUUGUGUGAUCUCAUAAUUUCCUGGUUCUCUAUCAUAGGCUAGGUUGGAAACAUAUUUCUAAGCAUGAAUUUUGACUUGGAAAUAAAGCCUAUAAACCAAAA